GCCGGGCUAGCUCAGCGGUAGAGCGUUGCCCUGAAGAGGCAAGCGUGCCCAGUUCGACUCUGGGGCCCGGCA
rnacentral:tRNA from 1 species